GUGUAUUUCUUUCUACAAAAUAAAAAUAAUCCAACUUCAUUCGAAUUAAACGUAAAAUUCAACUCUGGUAAAUUGAAAAUCGAGUGCACGGUGUGGCGAGUAAAAUUAGAAGGGUAUUCAACGAAAUUACUAUCGAAAAUUCGAGAUUCUUUCACUGUUGGAGGCAUCGUAAACGCGAAUAAGCGACCCGACUGCAACUCGGCGCAAAUAAAAUCUUAUUGCGGGGGAAUUUUCCUAUUUUCCAGGAAGCAAUUCGACGAAUUAAACUGCCUAACUGGAAUUUUAUCGUCGAUGCGCUACCAAGAAGAGGCAUUCGUAUCGAUGACAUGUCGUAUUUAAACAUCCGUGUAAGCGCGAGGAAAACUUGGGGAGGAAAAAAUCUCGAAGAAAGAAAGAAAGAAAGAAAGGAGAGAAAAAAACGCAUCGUUUAUUCGAGUUUAUUACAUUUACAAGACGUGUAAUAAAUUGUUGAUAAAAGAAUUAGAAAGAAUUUCAAAUUGAAGAAGAGAAUACGAGUCUUUCGUGAUAUUUAAAAAUAGACGUUUAAAGAAACAUUCCUUCCAAGAUACGUGUUUGUUAAUUAGUAUAAUCGAGCAACGUGAGCAUAAAUGAUAACUUAAUCACUUUUUUAAACAGAGACUAUCAUCAAGCAGAUAACUUAUCUCAAAUUAUACGAUGUUUCCUAUUCGAGUUUUAACCACUCAAAACUAGAAAAAUAUUAAUACUUCGCAUUAGUGAUCGACAUUUUUCUCGUUCUUUCUUUACUUUGUCUUCGUCAAUUUGCUUUAAAUAUAUAUUCAUAGUGGAUUCUUUAAUAUUUAUCACUAAAAACAUUUAUAAUUCCAGACUAAAGACAUUGUUUCUUAAUAAUGGAUAAUUUGUUAGGUUAGGUUAAAUUAAAUUGUUAAAUUAGUACAAAAAUUCAAAUAUUGUUGAUCCCAUAGAAUUGAGAUUCUUCUGAUACAUCUAGAAAAGCUUUUUUCCAAUUUCUUUUAAAAUUAAAAAAGAAAGAAAUAGCAUUUCGAUAAUCCAACUGAAUUCUAACCUCAAAGUAUUUUCUCAUUCAUCAAACUCAAGUUAAAUUACAAUCUAAAUCAAAGAUCAUCAACGCCUUGAAAAUAAGUUUUCCUCUUUAAGAAAACAUAACUUAAACUUAACCUCUUCCAGAGUUGGACAUUAGCCCGUUGAAAAACUAACUAAUUAAAACAACAAAGUUUCUUUAAGCCUUAAUAACCUUACUUACGAAUUCUCGAAUAACGUUUAUUCAUAGCCAUUAUUGUUGAUCCGCUCCUCCCCUAACCUCGACCGUUUCGCGCUGCAGUUAUCCCCAAUUAUUCGACACUUUCGAACAAAAUUUCUUCUUCGACAAUCUUAUUUUACAAUUCUCGAAUAACAAAAUUAUCGUCGAUCCACUCGAUCGUUUCAAUUAUUAAACUAACCUUAUUCCCUGCUCGAAUAGUAAAAAUUUUACUCUCUCGCUGAAAAACUAACCAAAAUUUCUUCAACAAUCUUAUUUUGCAAUUCUCGAAUAACAAAAAUAUCGUCGAUCGUUGUAAUUAUUUCGAACAAUAAAUUAUCUCGACAACUAACCUUAUUCCUUAUUGUCUCGUUGAAAAACUAACCAAAAUUUCUUCAACAAUCUUAUUUUCCAAGAUUCUCGAAUAACAAAAUUAUCGUCGAUCGUUGUAAUUAUUUCGAACAAUAAAUAAUCUCGACAACUAACCUUAUUCCUUACUCUCUCGCUAAAAAACUAACCAAAAUUUCUUCAACAAUCUUAUUUUACAAUUCUCGAAUAACAAAAUUAUCGUCGAUCGUUGCAAUUAUUCGACGCUUCGAACAAUAAAUUAUCUCGACAACUAACCUUAUUCCUUGCUCGAACCAUGAAAACUUUACUCUCUCAGGCCCUCUCUCUCUCGUUGAAAAACUAACCAAAAUUUCUUCAACGAUCUUAUUCUAUUUACUUUCUCGAAUAACAAAAUUAUCAUUGAUUGUUUCAAUUACUCGACGCUUCGAACAAUAAGUUAUAUCUCGACAAUUAAUUAUAUUCCCAACUCGAACCGUGACAGUUUUACUUAUAAGAAAACCUCAAAACCAUUCCCAGAAUUCCCUCUGAAAAACUAACCAAAAUCUCUCUAAUACCCUUAUAUACACAUCCAAUUUCUUCGAAUAACAAAAUUACCAAUCCGUUUCCACUUAUCCCCAAUCAUUACUCAUCCAUUGCGUUCAACUUAAUCCACAACAAUUCUUUCUUAUCCCUGAGGCGAGCGUUUCCAUCGCGGUUCCCGCCAAUUCCUCUCCUCCCGGUUCUGUUUAUAAACAAAGCCGCGUGUGCCACGCCGGGAGAGAGUCUCUCGCUGCUCCCCGCCUAACCUCGUCUAAAAGCAUCGUGGCGAUGCGUGUGCACGGACGCCGUCCUUCCUCUUCCUCGGUCUGCGAACAGUGAAUGACGCCUCCGGUUCUUUCUGGUUCGAGCUCGCCAUUCACCGAAUCGUCGACGGAGCGGCGUCUCGCCCGCACCGGUUCGAACCGGUAAACCGGCUGCCUUGGGUCCCGCUGGUUAAGUCCGCCUCGAUUAGCGCCUCGGCAAUUAUUGAAUGGCCGACCGGCCGACGAUCAGGUUCUUCUCCUCUCCUUUUAUCCCCGACUUCCUCAAUCAGAGACACCGAUAUCUCCUUCGCGUGUAUAUACAUGCGCGUUCCUCUUCCACUUCCUCCUCCUCCUCUUCUAACGUGCGGUACGAGAGUUUAACAUUCUUAUCCCCUUAGUGAGUGGAACACGGACAAGUUCUCGCGUCUUCCUCGUCGUCGAGAGCUCGUGAACGACGACCACGACGACGAUGCUCCAAGGGAGAUAUGUGAUCCGACGAAGCGGAUGGAGGCAAGAUGGAGGACGUGCCGAUGAUGCGGCCGAUUCGGAACGGAAUCAGUGAUGGCUAUAAAACGGAAGCAACCAUACAUAGGAAUUUUCUUUUCUUCUUCUUUUUGAAUACAUGAUAUCUUUCAGAGCGACCGGGUCGAUCGUUGUGCAGGGAUGUGGGUCAGGCAUACGCCCGAACCCCCUGGAUUUUCAUCUCGUCCCUUUCUCCGAUAAACAUAGAAUAUUCUCUGGAAUCCUCGGAACUUUUCACAAAAAAAUUUUCUUUAUGACGAUCAUUAUCUAAACUCGAUUAUGUCUACUUAUCUUGGAAAUAGGAAAAUAAAUUUCGUCUGUCAUAAAAGUACAAUUAGGUAACUUAAGAUCCUCGUUAAAAACUUUUUAAUUUUAUAAUCAUGUUACUUUAUCACUAUCUUUUUCGUUGUUUUAUUAAUAUUCAUUUUAAAAAAUGAAUAUUAAUUUCAUAAGUAUACAAUAUGUUCAAAAGGCGAAUGAAAAAUAUAUGAUAUUCAUUAUUAUUUUACUUAUUUAAUAUUUUAUUGUAAUAAUUCAUAAAUAAUACAACCAUAUCGUAAAAUCAUAACGAUCAUAACCAUAUUUUAAACAUUUUAGUCAACAACUUUAGCUGGGAUCUUGAAACAUACUUCAGAAUUGUUAUUUUCGUCAACAAGAGAUAAUUGGAUGGUCAGAGCAACUUUUGGAUAGGCUUUCAGAACUGGCAUCUUAAGGUAAUAAGUAGCUGCUUGUCCACUUUGCAAUGGGCACUGUCCGUUCACCAGAUUCUUGCAAGCAUUUUGUUCUGGGAGUGGGUAUUGCAUGUGGCUGUUUCCUAGGUCAACAUCUACUACGGGUCUCAGA
rnacentral:lncRNA from 1 species